GUGUCAGCCGCCGCGGUAAUACGAAGGUUGCAAGCGUUACUCGGAAUUACUAGGCGUAAAGGGCAGGUAGGUGGUUUGGUAAGUCUAUUGUGAAAGCUCCCGGCUUAACUGGGAGAGGCCAAUGGAUACUGCCAAGCUUGAGUAUAGGAGAGGUUACUGGAAUUCCCGGUGUAGCGGUGAAAUGCGCAGAGAUCGGGAGGAACACCAAUGGCGAAAGCAGGUAACUGGACUAUUACUGACACUCAACUGCGAAAGCUAGGGGAGCAAACAGGAUUAGAAACCCGGGUAGUCC
rnacentral:rRNA from 1 species